ACGCAAUAGAUACCCGGGUAGUCCACGCCCUAAACGAUGUCUACUAGUUGUCGGGUCUUAAUUGACUUGGUAAACGCAGCUAAACGCGUGAAGUAGACCGCCUGGGGAGUAUGGUCGCAAGAUUAAAACUCAAAGGAAUUGACGGGGACCCGCACAAGCGGUGGAUGAUGUGGAUUAAAUUCGAUGCAACGCGAAAAACCUUACCUACCCUUGACAUGGAUGGAAUCCUUGAGAGAUUGAGGAGUGCCCGAAAGGGAACCAUUACACAGGUGCUGCAUGGCUGUCGUCAGCUCGUGUCGUGAGAUGUUGGGUUAAGUCCCGCAACGAGCGCAACCCUUGUCAUUAGUUGCUACGAAAGGGCACUCUAAUGAGACUGCCGGUGACAAACCGGAGGAAGGUGGGGAUGACGUCAAGUCCUCAUGGCCCUUAUGGGUAGGGCUUCACACGUCAUACAAUGGUACAUACAGAGGGCCGCCAACCCGCGAGGGGUAGCUAAUCCCAGAAAGUGUAUCGUAGUCC
rnacentral:rRNA from 1 species